CCGGGGAGCACGACAUCACGGGUUAAGCGCACAGAGACCUUCCUUCAGCUACAUGUUUAACUCCCCGGGUCUCACACUGUGCACCUGCUUCUGCAUAGUGGUCACGCUCGCACCCUACGUACGAGUGGGGGCAGACUCUCCACCGCUGCACCGAUGAAAUGCGUAGACGCAUCUGGCAUGACACCCGGUGGCGAACGCCCCCCCCUGGACUACAUACUCGACCUUAGGUGCGAAAUCCUGUGGACGCCACAGGUAUUACUACCCUGGCUGUCCCCGCCGUAAACGAUGCUUACUCGGAGGUUGCCCCCUCCCCGAGUGGCUUCCGGAGCCAACUCGUUAAGUCGACCGCCUGGGGAGUACGGCCGCCACGUUAAAACUCAAAUGAAUUGACGGGCGCCCGCACUAGCGGAUGGAGCAUGUGGUUUCAUUCCAUGCAACGCGAAGAACCUUACCUGGCCUUGACAUCCACAGAACUUUCCAGAGAUGGAUUGCUGCCUUCCCGAACUGUGAGACAGGCGCUGCAUGGCUGUCGUCAGCUCGUGUUGCGAAACGUUGGGUUAAGUCCCUCAACCACCGCAACCCUUAUCCUUUGUUGCCAGCGGUCCGGCCCGGAACUCACCGGAGACUGCCCGUGAUAAACUGGAGGAACGUCGGGAUGACGUCAAGCCAUCUUGGCCCUUACCACCAGGGCUACACACGUGCUACAAUGGCGCAUACCAAGAGAAGCGACCUCCCGAGAUCAAGCGGACCUCAUAAAGUGCGUCUUAGUCCGGAUUGGAGUCUGCAACUCGACUCCAUGAAGUCGGAAUCGCUAGUAAUCGCGGAUCAAAAUGCCCCGCGGAUACUUUCCCGGGCCUUGUAACACCGCCCGUUACACCAUGGGAAUGGGUUGCAAAACAAAUAGGUAGCUUAACCUUCGGGAGGGGGGCUUACCCUUUUGGAUUCAUGACGGGGGGAAGUCGUAACAAGGGAACCGUAAAAUUNCUCUUUUUNUGCUUAUUUUUUUUAUAUUCAUUAAGUAUAUAUAUCUUUAUCUCAUUGGUUAUAUUUUCAUUUAUUAUUCUUGAUAUCUUUUUUACUCCAAUUCUAUAUUACUGUCAUAUGCAUUAUUAUCUAUUUGCAUCUGAAUUCUUUCAAAUUAUAUUAUACUAUUUUUUUUUCUGCUUUUAUUUUUAUGUCUAUUCUUUCCUUUUCUGUAUAUAUUUUUCUACUCCACUUAAUUAUCUAAUUUUUAAUAUAA
rnacentral:rRNA from 1 species